UUCUCAUUAAGGUCUGUAACCCUGUUCCAGAAGCAUUACCUGCCCCAGAGGCUACCUGCCACUCAGUGAAGAUCAUAUGCCUAAGUCAUGACAUCAACAUCAAACUCUCUUCAAAUCUGGGAGAAAGGCUCAGCUCUUACAACCAGGACAAGAAGAAAUGACACCAGUAGAGAGAUCAUUUGGUGAGCAGCAGGGUUGAAAGAGCCUCAAACCAUGGAGAGAGAGCCUGGAUCUCGAGUAGAAAGGCUUCUGGCACUGAAGAAGUCAAACAGGAUCCCUGAGAGGGAAAAAGCCAGGAGCUUGGGGAAUUAUCUUCACCAAGGUCUGUCUAGAGAUGUGGUUGGCAGAUUUAUGACCCCCAAAGAUGUCUACAUCCUAAACCCAGGAAUCUGUUGCUAAGACUGAGUAAAACAAGAAAAGCAAUGGGGAACCUCACUCACAUCCAUGCUUCCUUGUCUCAUCUGUAUGUAUGAUUUUUGC
rnacentral:lncRNA from 1 species